UUAAAUACAUUUAACACUCUGUCCUUAUGUGACUUUCUCAGGGUUUCCAGGGAAGCCUUCUGUGGGGAGGAACUGAACCUGAUUCUGAUGAGCUGCAGGGGAAUGUUUACAUGUGCCAAAAGCACGGGGUGCAUUUGCCAGCACUGAGCCAAGGAGCCUGGCAGGGGAUUGAUCUGGUUGGUGGCUGAGUCCUACCAGGCCAGUCCUACAUCAGAAAAAAACCACUCUGUUGCCCAGUUCAAGCCAGAGACUCUAUAAUGCUACUGCUCCUCAUGCAGAAAAUGAACAGCAGUUGCCCAGUGCUGCUGGCCAUGCAUCCUCCUCCCUGCAGGCAGGCUUGGAGCCCUUAUUCCUGGGA
rnacentral:lncRNA from 1 species